rnacentral:piRNA from 1 species
UGUUGGGGACUGUCUACGUAUGUGCAA